rnacentral:piRNA from 1 species
UCCUACAGGAGAAGUUAGUUGCCAAAU